rnacentral:rRNA from 1 species
CCUACGGGUGGCAGCAGUGAGGAAUCUUGGUCAAUGGACGAGAGUCUGAACCAGCCAAGUAGCGUGAAGGAUGACUGCCCUAUGGGUUUUAAACUUCUUUUAUAAAGAAGUAAAACGAUGCGCGUGUGCCUUUUUGCAUGUACUUUAUGAAUAAGGAUCGGCUAACUCCGUUCCAGCAGCCGCGGUAAUACGGGGGAUGCGAGCGUUAUCCGGUUUGAUUGGGUUUAAAGUGUGCGGAGGCGUGCAUUUAAGCCGGCGGUCAUGUGUCGGGGCUCAACCGAGGACUGCCGUCGGAACUGGGUGCCUUGAGUGGGCGAGAGGUAUGCGGAAUGCGAGGUGUAGCGGUGAAAUGCGUAGAUAUCACGAAGAACCCCGAUGGCGAAGGCAGCAUACCGGCG